rnacentral:rRNA from 1 species
UACGGAGGAUGCGAGCGUUAUCCGGAUUUAUUGGGUUUAAAGGGUGCGUAGGCGGGCUUUUAAGUCAGCGGUAAAAAUUCGGGGCUCAACCCCGUCCGGCCGUUGAAACUGGGGGCCUUGAGUGGGCGAGAGGAAGGCGGAAUGCGUGGUGUAGCGGUGAAAUGCAUAGAUAUCACGCAGAACCCCGAUUGCGAAGGCAGCCUUCCGGCGCCCUACUGACGCUGAGGCACGAAAGUGCGGGGAUCGAACAGG